CGGCCAGUGUUUCGUCUGAAUAUACAGAGGCCGCAGGCCAACGUCAUCAAAGACAUCUAUCUCAUUAUCGUCGAGUGUCGUCCCGCUACAUCUACGUGUGUCCAAAACAGCUGAUCAACUGUGUCGUAUGCACCCGUGCAGCCUACAAUUUUUUUAUUAUUAUUAGCAAAGACGAGACGUAAAAACGACGUUUCGAUUGUAUAUUUUCGUUUGCAGGAUCGAUUGUUCCGUGUGCCACGUACGCUCGAAACCCGUACCUGCCUGAAUGUAUGUUAUGUCGGUUGCGUUGCGUGUGCUCGAUCUGAUUGUCGCUUCGUUCUUUGGCGGAGGCCGUCUAUUUCUGUUUCGGUGGUAAGCCCGACCAGAGGAUCGCACUGAACGUGGACAUUAGGCUUUCCUGACACCGGCCAUUGACAAAUAAGAAUUAUUGGAGACAUUGAUAAAUUUUUAAGUGGUCGUUUGGUUAUGUGCGUACAUUGUGUUUUCCACUACCAAUAAUUUAUACCCCGUAUUAACACACCAGAUGAUGAGAUGACUAAACCGAAACUAUUGGUUUUUAUAAG